rnacentral:rRNA from 1 species
AGUGAACGCUGGCGGUAGGCCUAACACAUGCAAGUCGAACGGCAGCACAGUAAGAGCUUGCUCUUACGGGUGGCGAGUGGCGGACGGGUGAGGAAUACAUCGGAAUCUACUUUUUCGUGGGGGAUAACGUAGGGAAACUUACGCUAAUACCGCAUACGACCUACGGGUGAAAGCAGGGGAUCUUCGGACCUUGCGCGAUUGAAGGAGCCGAUGUCGGAUUAGCUAGUUGGCGGGGUAAAGGCCCACCAAGGCGACGAUCCGUAGCUGGUCUGAGAGGAUGAUCAGCCACACUGGAACUGGGACACGGUCCAGACUCCUACGGGAGGCAGCAGUGGGGAAUAUUGGACAAUGGGCGCAAGCCUGAUCCAGCCAUACCGCGUGGGUGAAGAAGGCCUUCGGGUUGUAAAGCCCUUUUGUUGGGAAAGAAAAGCAGCAGGUUAAUACCCCGCUGUUCUGACGGUACCCAAAGAAUAAGCACCGGCUAACUUCG